GACGAACGCUGGCGGCGUGCUUAACACAUGCAAGUCGAGCGGUAAGGCCCUUCGGGGUCCACGAGCGGCGAACGGGUGAGUAACACGUGAGUAAUCUGCCCAGCACUUCGGGAUAACUCCGGGAAACCGGUGCUAAUACCGAAUAUAAACACUUCAGGCACCUGGUGGGGGUGGAAAGUUCCGGCGGUGCUGGCGGGGCUGGCGGCCUAUCAGCCUGAUGGGGGGGUAGCGGCCUACAAAGGCUGCGACGGGUAGCGGGCCUGGGAGGGGGACCGGCCACACUGGGCCUGAGACACGGCCCAGACUCCUACGGGAGGCAGCAGUGGGGAAUAUUGGACAAUGGGCGCACGCCUGAUACAGCAACGCCGCGUGAGGGAUGACGGCCUUCGGGUUGUAAACCUCUUUCAGCAGGGACGAAGCGCAAGUGACGGUACCUGCAGAAGAAGCACCGGCCAACUACGUG
rnacentral:rRNA from 1 species